UAUCAGUCUAUAGGGGAGAUCAAU
rnacentral:piRNA from 1 species